UCUACUUAAGAAACUGUCCCCUGACCAGC
rnacentral:piRNA from 1 species